GAUGAACGCUGGCGGCGUGCCUAAUACAUGCAAGUCGAGCGAACGGACGAGAAGCUUGCUUUUCUGAUGUUAGCGGCGGACGGGUGAGUAACACGUGGAUAACCUACCUAUAAGACUGGGAUAACUUCGGGAAACCGGAGCUAAUACCGGAUAAUAUUUUGAACCGCAUGGUUCAAAAGUGAAAGACGGUCUUGCUGUCACUUAUAGAUGGAUCCGCGCUGCAUUAGCUAGUUGGUAAGGUAACGGCUUACCAAGGCAACGAUGCAUAGCCGACCUGAGGGGGUGAUCGGCCACACUGGAACUGAGACACGGUCCAGACUCCUACGGGAGGCAGCAGUAGGGAAUCUUCCACAAUGGGCGAAAGCCUGACGGAGCAACGCCGCGUGAGUGAUGAAGGUCUUCGGAUCGUAAAACUCUGUUAUUAGGGAAGAACAUAUGUGUAAGUAACUGUGCACAUCUUGACGGUACCUAAUCAGAAAGCCACGGCUAACUACGUG
rnacentral:rRNA from 1 species